GACGAACGCUGGCGGCGUGCUUAACACAUGCAAGUCGAGCGAGUUGAUUCCCUUCGGGGAUGAAGCUAGCGGCGGACGGGUGAGUAACACGUGGGCAACCUGCCUUAUAGAGGGGGAUAGCCUUCCGAAAGGAAGAUUAAUACCGCAUAACAUCAGAUUAUCGCAUGGUAGACUGAUCAAAGGAGCAAUCCGCUAUAAGAUGGGCCCGCGUCGCAUUAGCUAGUUGGUGAGGUAACGGCUCACCAAGGCGACGAUGCGUAGCCGACCUGAGAGGGUGAUCGGCCACAUUGGGACUGAGACACGGCCCAGACUCCUACGGGAGGCAGCAGUGGGGAAUAUUGCACAAUGGGGGAAACCCUGAUGCAGCAACGCCGCGUGAGUGAUGAAGGCCUUCGGGUUGUAAAGCUCUUUGAUCAGGGACGAUAAUGACGGUACCUGAAGAACAAGCCACGGCUAACUACGUGCCAGCCGCCGCAGUAAUAC
rnacentral:rRNA from 1 species